ACCAGACUCCUACGGGAGGCAGCAGUGGGGGAUAUUGCACAAUGGGGGAAACCCUGAUGCAGCAACGCCGCGUGGGUGAAGGAGCGUUUCGGCGCGUAAAGCCCUGUCAGCGGGGAAGAAGAAAGACGGUACCCGACCAAGAAGCCCCGGCUAACUACGUGCCAGCAGCCGCGGUAAUACGUAGGGAGCGAGCGUUGUCCGGAUUUACUGGGUGUAAAGGGUGCGUAGGCGGCUUGGCAAGUCAGUAGUGAAAUCCAUGGGCUUAACCCAUGAACUGCUAUUGAAACUGUCGAGCUUGAGUGAAGUAGAGGUAGGCGGAAUUCCCGGUGUAGCGGUGAAAUGCGUAGAGAUCGGGAGGAACACCAGUGGCGAAGGCGGCCUACUGGGCUUUAACUGACGCUGAGGCACGAAAGCGUGGGUAGCAAACAGGAUUAGAUACCCGAGUAAG
rnacentral:rRNA from 1 species